rnacentral:rRNA from 1 species
CAGCAGCCACGGGAAUACGGAGGGGGCUAGCGUUGUUCGGAAUUACUGGGCGUAAAGCGCACGUAGGCGGAUAUUUAAGUCAGGGGUGAAAUCCCAGAGCUCAACUCUGGAACUGCCUUUGAUACUGGGUAUCUUGAGUAUGGAAGAGGUGAGUGGAAUUCCGAGUGUAGAGGUGAAAUUCGUAGAUAUUCGGAGGAACACCAGUGGCGAAGGCGGCUCACUGGUCCAUUACUGACGCUGAGGUGCGAAAGCGUGGGGAGCAAACAGGAUUAGAUACCCCCGUAGUCCCUGUCUCUUAUAC